GACGAACGCUGGCGGCAUGCCUAACACAUGCAAGUCGAACGAAGCCUUCGGGCUUAGUGGCGCACGGGUGCGUAACGCGUGGGAAUCUGCCCUUGGGUUCGGAAUAACAGUUAGAAAUGACUGCUAAUACCGGAUGAUGUCUUCGGACCAAAGAUUUAUCGCCCAAGGAUGAGCCCGCGUAGGGUUAGGUAGUUGGUGGGGUAAUGGCCCACCAAGCCGACGAUCCUUAGCUGGUCGGAGAGGAUGAUCAGCCACACUGGGACGGAGGCACGGCCCAGACUCCUACGGGAGGCAGCAGUGGGGAAUAUUGGACAAUGGGCGAAAGCCUGAUCCAGCAAUGCCGCGUGAGUGAUGAAGGCCUUAGGGUUGUAAAGCUCUUUUACCAGGGAUGAUAAUGACAGUACCUGGAGAAUAAGCUCCGGCUAACUCCGUGCCAGCCGCCGCGGUAAGAC
rnacentral:rRNA from 1 species